rnacentral:rRNA from 1 species
UACGUAGGGCGCGAGCGUUGUCCGGAUUUAUUGGGCGUAAAGAGCUCGUAGGCGGCUUGUCGCGUCGACUGUGAAAACCCGCGGCUCAACUGCGGGCCUGCAGCCGAUACGGGCAGGCUAGAGUUCGGUAGGGGAGACUGGAAUUCCUGGUGUAGCGGUGAAAUGCGCAGAUAUCAGGAGGAACACCGGUGGCGAAGGCGGGUCUCUGGGCCGAAUACUG